UGUGCUGAUGCGAGUGCUGUCACAGCUGUUAUGGCCUGCAGCGCAACAGUUUAGCUGGUGGUUAAUACCCCUAAACCUGCGGAGUCACCGGUCGGCGUUCUGUAUGCACGCGACAUUGCUCUCGGUCCGUGUGAGCGAAUCGUUUGCUGUGUCUCGAUCUGGCCUGUGGCUGAUUAUGUGUGUGCGCUGUGGAACCGUGGGGUGAUCUGCUGCACUGCUGCCUCGGCGGGGGUUUGAACGGAGGCUCGGUGUGUCUUUUUCGUGCCUCAGCUUUGGGUGUCGCUCUCUCUCCCCCUGUGGGAUUGCCCUCUGCCUGGUCGGCCCAGUUCCGGCUCCGUCUUGGCUCUAAGCGGGCUUGCCGGUUUUAGCAUUUCUUUGUUGGUUGGGUGUAGUUAUUGUAUAUUUAGUUAUACAUUUGGCAUUUUGUUUGAUUUGCACGUUUUGAUUCAUUUUUAGUGUGUUUUGCUUUAUCCUUUUAGCCACUGUAUUUUAAAUAGUAUAUUGUAUUUUAAAUUAUU